rnacentral:lncRNA from 1 species
UGGACCGACUGUUCUGUCAUCAACAGGCUUCCCCAGACCAUUGCAGUUCUCGGACUUGUGCAUUUCAGAUUCAAUGGUUUUAGCUAUCUGAACACCAUCAGCUCCAGGCUCAGGAAAACCCACGUGGAACGACCCUUGCUUUGCAGGUUCACCUUGUCCCUGCGUUUCGCAAUGGUGCUUCACAUAGCUGUACAGCUGCUGAUGAAAGGGAUGAUCAACAGAAAAACAGUCUACACUCUGAGUAUGGUGAGAUGAGCCAGAGCUUCCUCUUCUACAGAAAUGUGGGAGGGAUGUGUAGUCCAUAAUCUACAAAAGAAACCACAAGACUUAGAGCACUGUACACUUCACAGUAAGAUAAUAAGACGCACAUGCAUACCUUCAGUAACUCAUCCUUUCCGGAACCGGAUAACACAUGAACUUUUUUAGUCGUCCUCUCAUGUAAAAGAGGUUUUACAACCUGAUAUGAAAUGAAGUACACACAUAGAUGAAUAAUGGCAAGUAAGCUAAAACACUUUUUGAGUUACUAACAAAAAAAAGGCUUUACCUUCCAACAGGCGGAGAAUAUAUAUGGAGCGUUGACAACAUAGUAAGUGUUUGUCUUCUCUGGAUAGUUUAGAUCAUCGAUGGUUGAUAUGAUUGUCACUAACUGCAUCAAAAAUGUUGACACACCACAAGUUAUAAAGAAGAGUAUGAAUAUGAAUUCAAGAACUUACUUAUCACUUGCAAUUACCUUAAUCUGGCUUAGGGCUGAAAGUUUCAGACCUGUCAUGUCAAGAACCUUGACGCAGGUGGUGAUUGGCCGCCCAUUCUUCUUAGACAUGGAAGGCUGUAACAGUGUUUUAACAGAUUACAGCAAGAAAGAAACCGUAAAAAUAGAAGUUAGCCAACUGAUAAUGUACUCACCAGUAGUACACGGUCUCUGUAUUCAUUGAUUUGGAUGUGGGAUUGGACAUAGUAGUGAACCUGUAAGUGGACGAAGAGAAGCACAUUUCAUUUGUUGUUGCUCAUUUUGUGAAAACUAGGACAAGGAAGCAUCUUACUGAAGCUUUGUCGAAUGUGCUGAGGCCAACGCCAAUAGCAAACACAGGCAAGCCCUAAAGCAUUAAGAGAACACCAGUUAAGAAAUGAUAAGAGAUAGGCUUUGGUCAGAAAGAAAGGCAAUGAGGAAUCCUAUGGGGCCUACCUCUCUGGUGUAACCAGACAUUCCUAUGAGUUGAGAAUCCCGUACGUCCCUGUACAACUCACUAGGAACAAUGGGUUUCUGCAGAAACCAAAAGCCAUGAUUCUAGUGUGUCUUACAACAUGACAGACCAAGAAAAGAGGAAAUGAACAAUAACUCACUGAUAAGAUACUGUCGAUUUCACUAUCCACCCUCCAACGCAAACAGUCAAGAAGCUGAAAGCAAAUUACACAAAUCAGACAAGACUGUGGAACAAUCACACUCAAAAUCAGACAAUGAAGUGUUCGGGAGAUGUAGUAGAUACCAUUGUAUGAGCUUUGCUCACGUUCCAGUCACGUGCUUUCAGGAAACGACUCAAGUUCUCCCUCAGGUAUCCCUGAUGGACUCUCUGCAGAUUCACAAACACGUUUCCUUUACUUGAUUUCACUUCCAGAAACAACAAGAACAAAAGGGAUGGAAUAUGAAAGAAACAAUUAUCAGCUCACACCUAGAGAUGCAAAGUCUUAAGGAAUCACCUACUGGUACAGAACACAGAUCAAGUAUACAUUCUUAAAAAUGAGACAUGUGUGGACAACAACCUUAUGCAUCUAUGAUAUAAUCAUUCGAAUGGGGGGGGGGGUUUGACCCGUUUCCAAGAACAGAGAGAAUAAUAACAAGACAAACUCCAGUAGAAGCCAAACAAGCAUACCUCAAAUGUUUUCUUCAGUGGCCCCUCAACUGUGCACAACAAACUUUACCCAAUUUAGUAAUAUUAUUGACAUGAGAAAAAAUCAAAGUAGGGAAAAGGGUCAGACCUUGAUUUAUGAGCUUCUGGAGUUCAUCAAUGGCUUCUUCUUCCGAGACGAUCCCCAUUGGUUCCGCUCUCGCUUCCUCUGCAGCCAGACAGAGUUCCCCAGAGAAAAGUAAAAAAAUCUCCAAGAUCGACUCUCUUUUUUUUUUUUUAUUGCUAGAAAUGUCUUAGCACGAGGAUCAAAUAACACUAAACAUGAAUCCAGGAGUACAUUCAUCAGUUCAACAUUUUAUUCUCUGUGCUUCGCUUUACAUUUGCAUGGCUAAGGAGUUCACAGAGCUUAGUGGUAAGUGCUAAGUGCUCAGUAAUUUACUCAUUUGAAGGCACUGAAAAGACUUCCUUCAGAGCCAUUCAGGGUUAAACAUCUUCCAAGUCUUUUCAUGGACCGACUGUUCUGUCAUCAACAGGCUUCCCCAGACCAUUGCAGUUCUCGGACUUGUGCAUUUCAGAUUCAAUGGUUUUAGCUAUCUGAACACCAUCAGCUCCAGGCUCAGGAAAACCCACGUGGAACGACCCUUGCUUUGCAGGUUCACCUUGUCCCUGCGUUUCGCAAUGGUGCUUCACAUAGCUGUACAGCUGCUGAUGAAAGGGAUGAUCAACAGAAAAACAGUCUACACUCUGAGUAUGGUGAGAUGAGCCAGAGCUUCCUCUUCUACAGAAAUGUGGGAGGGAUGUGU